GGAGAGAUGGCAGAGUGGUCGAUCGCGCUACCUUGGAAAGGUAGUGUAGGGGCAACCCUACCGUGGGUUCGAAUCCCACUCUCUCCGCCA
rnacentral:tRNA from 1 species